CAGGUUGAUCCUGCCGGACCUGACUGCUAUCGGAUUGGUACUAAGCCAUGCGAGUCGUUGUACAAUACAAGGCGGACUGCUCAGUAACACGUAGUUAACUUAACCUAUGGAUGGGCAUAACCUCGGGAACUGAGAAUAAUACCCAAUGGACCACAGUGCCUGGAAUGGCCUGUGGUUGAAAUGAUUUAUCGCCGUAGGAUAGGACUGCGGCCUAUCAGCUUGUUGGUGAGGUAAUGGCCCACCAAGGCUAUAACAGGUACGGGCUCUGAGAGGAGGGGCCCGGAGAUGGGUACUGAGACACGGACCCAGGCCCUAUGGGGCGCAGCAGGCGAGAAACCUUUGCAAUGUGCGAAAGCACGACAAGGUUAAUCCGAGUGUCUCCUGCUAAAGGAGUCUUUUGUCAGUUGUAGAAUCACUGGUGAAUAAGGGGUGGGCAAGUUCUGGUGUCAGCCGCCGCGGUAAAACCAGCACCUCGAGUGGUCAGGAGGUUUAUUGGGCCUAAAGCAUCCGUAGCCGGUUGCAUAAGUUUUCGGUUAAAUCUAUGCGCUUAACGUAUAGGCCGCCGAAAAUACUGUGCAGCUAGGGAGUGGGAGAG
rnacentral:rRNA from 1 species